rnacentral:misc_RNA from 1 species
GAUGAAGAACGUAGCGAAAUGCGAUAAGUAAUGCGAAUUGCAGAAUCCGUGAGUCAUCGAGUCUUUGAACGCACAUUGCGCCCCCUGGUAUUCCGGGGGGCAUGCCUGUCCGAGCGUCAUUGCUGCCCUCAAGCACGGCUUGUGUGUUGGGCCUCCGUCCUCCUCCCGGGGGACGGGCCCGAAAGGCAGCGGCGGCACCGCGUCCGGUCCUCGAGCGUAUGGGGCUUCGUCACCCGCUCUUGUAGGCCCGGCCGGCGCUUGCCGACACAUCAAUCUUUUUUCCAGGUUGACCUCGGAUCAGGUAGGGAUACCCGCUGAACUUAAGCAUAUCAAUAAGCGGAGGA